rnacentral:rRNA from 1 species
AUUGAACGCUGGCGGAAUGCUUUACACAUGCAAGUCGAACGGCAGCACGGGGGCAACCCUGGUGGCGAGUGGCGAACGGGUGAGUAAUACAUCGGAACGUGCCCAUGUCGUGGGGGAUAACGUAGCGAAAGCUACGCUAAUACCGCAUACGAUCUACGGAUGAAAGCGGGGGAUCGCAAGACCUCGCGCGAUUGGAGCGGCCGAUGGCAGAUUAGGUAGUUGGUGGGGUAAAGGCUCACCAAGCCGACGAUCUGUAGCUGGUCUGAGAGGACGACCAGCCACACUGGGACUGAGACACGGCCCAGACUCCUACGGGAGGCAGCAGUGGGGAAUUUUGGACAAUGGGCGCAAGCCUGAUCCAGCCAUUCCGCGUGCAGGAUGAAGGCCCUCGGGUUGUAAACUGCUUUUGUACGGAACGAAAAGGCUUUCUCUAAUACAGAGGGCUCAUGACGGUACCGUAAGAAUAAGCACCGGCUAACUACGUGCCAGCCGCCGCCGUAAUAC